rnacentral:rRNA from 1 species
AGUGAACGCUGGCGGUAGGCCUAACACAUGCAAGUCGAACGGCAGCACAGUAAGAGCUUGCUCUUACGGGUGGCGAGUGGCGGACGGGUGAGGAAUUCAUCGGAAUCUACUUUUUCGUGGGGGAUAACGUAGGGAAACUUACGCUAAUACCGCAUACGACCUACGGGUGAAAGCAGGGGAUCUUCGGACCUUGCGCGAUUGAAUGAGCCGAUGUCGGAUUAGCUAGUUGGCGGGGUAAAGGCCCACCAAGGCGGCGAUCCGGAGCUGGUCUGAGAGGAUGAUCGGCCACACUGGAACUUGGACACGGUCCAGACGCCUACGGGAGGCAGCAGUGGGGAAUAUUGGACAAUGGGCGCAAGCCUGAUCCAGCCAUACCGCGUGGGUGAAGAAGGCCUUCGGGUUGUAAAGCCCUUUUGUUGGGUAAGAAAAGCAGCAGGUUAAUACCCCGCUGUUCUGACGGUACCCAAAGAAUAAGCACCGGCUAACUUCGUG